CUCCUAUAUAAAUAAAUCUCUUGUCAGGGUUUGGGCGUUUCUCUAUCUCGUUCUCAGGCUCGAUGCCGCAAGGGGUUCGUUCUGACUUGUGUGUGGAAGUCUAUAGAGAGAAGGCUGCUCUUGGCUUAUUAAAUUGAGUCAGAUCAGAGAAAUCUGUCAGGAGGAGGAUAUAUAUCCUCUGGACACCCUGUUUCAGUUGUUACCUGGCAUCUAUUUGCUGUAAAAUGUGAUCUAUCACUGGAUUGCAAGAACGUAAUUUUUGGGUCAGACAUUGCUGUCUUACGUGUUGCCUAGUUUGGCCAUUGGUAUUGCUUGCUGUGGAAAGCAUGCCCAAAAUGCUUGUAUGAGAGGAUACCCAAGCUCUUCAUAGUGGCAAGGAUGGACGUUAUAUGUGUUUGCAUUGGUUUUUCAUGGUUUAAGGAAUUGAAAAGCUCAAAAGCCAAUGAAUAGGAUGAUGACCUCUUUUUAGAAUGUCUUUUACGAGCACGGCCUACUGGCUUGCAUUGGUCGUGGAUGCAUGUCACACACACAAAUUGUGCAGGCACUUCCUCAAAAU